rnacentral:rRNA from 1 species
UGGAAGGGCCAUCGCUCAACGGAUAAAAGGUACUCCGGGGAUAACAGGCUGAUACCGCCCAAGAGUUCAUAUCGACGGCGGUGUUUGGCACCUCGAUGUCGGCUCAUCACAUCCUGGGGCUGAAGUAGGUCCCAAGGGUAUGGCUGUUCGCCAUUUAAAGUGGUACGCGAGCUGGGUUUAGAACGUCGUGAGACAGUUCGGUCCCUAUCUGCCGUGGGCGCUGGAGAACUGAGGGGG